rnacentral:rRNA from 1 species
UACAGAGGGUGCAAGCGUUGUUCGGAAUUAUUGGGCGUAAAGCGCGUGUAGGCGGCUUGUUAAGUCGGGUGUGAAAGCCCUCAGCUCAACUGAGGAAGCGCGCCCGAAACUGCAGAGCUUGAGUACCGGAGAGGAUGGCGGAAUUCCCCAAGUAGAGGUGAAAUUCGUAGAUAUGGGGAGGAACACCGGUGGCGAAGGCGGCCAUCUGGACGGAUACUGACGCUGAGACGCGAAAGCGUGGGGAGCAAACAGG